rnacentral:rRNA from 1 species
GGGCCCGCACAAGCGGUGGAGCAUGUGGUUCAAUUCGACGCAACGCGAAGAACCUUACCUGGGCUCGAACGGCUGGUCAACGGAGGUGGAAACAUCUUUACCCCGCAAGGGGGUCCAGUCGAGGUGCUGCAUGGCUGUCGUCAGCUCGUGUCGUGAGAUGUUGGGUUAAGUCCCGCAACGAGCGCAACCCUUGUCCUGUGUUGCCAUCAUUCAGUUGGGAACUCGCAGGAGACCGCCAGCGAUAAGUUGGAGGAAGGUGGGGAUGACGUCAAGUCCUCAUGGCCUUUAUGUCCAGGGCUACACACGUGCUACAAUGGGCGGUACAAAGCGUCCCAAACCCGCGAGGGGGAGGCAAUCGCAAAAAACCGUUCUCAGUUCGGAUUGCAGGCUGCAACUCGCCUGCAUGAAGCUGGAAUCGCUAGUAAUGGCAGAUCAGCACGCUGCCGUGAAUACGUUCCCGGGCCUU